rnacentral:rRNA from 1 species
CGGUGAAUACGUUCCCGGACCUUGUACACACCGCCCGUCAAGCCAUGGAAGCCGGGUGUACCUAAAGUCGAUAACCGCAAGGAGUCGCCUAGGGUAAAACUAGUGACUGGGGCU